AGGUAAUUAGUCUAAUAAAAACAUUUGAUUUCGGCUCAAAAGCUUAUGGUUUAAUUCCAUAAUUACCUA
rnacentral:tRNA from 1 species